rnacentral:lncRNA from 1 species
GCAGGAUGCCAAUGACGUUAGCAGUUGAUCGUUGGUUGACUCAAAACCUGAUGCACAGUUACCAAGUCAGAUUGACGCAACAUGAUAGCAGCAGUACUACAUGUGCACUCAACUCUUGAAUUUCGGGUAUGCCGCAAGAGCGGCUCCAAAAUGUAUGACAAAUCGUCUGUUUUUUUCCUUUCUCCUACCCUUUCCAUGUGGAUGGUAAAGAUUCUAGCUAUAUAAUUGAAAUUGCCAUUGUAGCAGCAC